AAUAAAGAAAUAAGAUAAAGCGAUAAAGCACACCACAAACAUAAGGAUUUAUAGUGGUUCGGUGCUAACCUUGCACCUACAUCCACUCUCCAAGAUCCUACUUGGGAAUUUCAAUCCACUAUCCUUUGUAUUCAACCCGAAUACAAAACGUCGGAAACUCCGACACUAGCUAUCCCAAGCUAGAUCACUUAUUUUUCGGGUACAAGUAAACCCAAAACACUCCGAUUUCAGGUUCGGAUCAACCUUUCCUUGUUUUGAAAAUCCUCCAAACACAAGAACAAAAACUCACAAAGAGUAAGAAUAUUUAGAGCACAGAUUAAUACAANN
rnacentral:lncRNA from 1 species